CUCUUUUCCUUUUUGAUAAUAUUUUACUUUCAACUUUCCACAUGACAUAUUUAGGACCACAUGAUUAAAAAACAUUUUGAUACAACUUUAAUUUAAGAUAAUAAGAUUCAAAAAUCUUCUUUAUUUUCUUAAACUUUGUGUCAAGUCAGUCAUUCUUUUUUAAACGGAGGGAAUAUUCUUUUUGUUCAGAUUUAAUUGACAAAUUUUAAUUUAGUAUAUCUAUUAAAAAAAUAAUAAUUGUUAUAAUGACUUUAUUAUAUUAUACUCUUAUUAUCUGAUGUUUCGUACUUUCUUCGUAUCAAAAUAGUAGGAUUUUUUAAAAAGAUAUUUAUUUUAAUUUAAUUUUUUCUUUUAUAAAAUAAAAAAAAAUUAUUAUGUUCUUUUAACAAUACUCUUUAGGGGUGGACAUUCGAAAAUUCGGUUCGAUUUCGAUUUUAUUUUUAUUUUUUUGGUUUUUGGUUCUCAAUUUAGGUGUACUGAAAAUCGAACCUAACCAAUUCGGUUCGGUUCGAUUUAUGUAAGUUUGGUUCAGUUCGAUUUAUUAAUUUUGAUUUUUUGAUUUUUGGGUCUCUUUAACGGGCUAAUUUCUAAUUGGGCCUACUAACACGUAAAUUUGUAUUUCCUGUAUCUAAUAUCUAAAGUUCAAUGAGUGACAUUUUAUUUGUCAUUGGCAUUAUAUAUGUGCUGAUGUACACACUACACUGGAUAUUCCUUAUUUUGUUUCCAACACCUUAAACAAAUGAAAAAGAUAUUUUCUCAAUUAAAAACUUAAAUAGAUUUAUACAUUGAUUUUUCUCAUGAAUCAUAAGUUAUUUUCUUCUUCUUUACAAAAAUGAAUAAAACAAAAUACUAUAAUAAACAAUGACAAAUCUGUGGAACCUUUUGGCAACAGAAAUGAGAAAACUUUAUGGAUUUUAAAUAAAAAUUUUGUAUGCACUAUGCACUCACACAACUAAAAGUAAAAUGACAUUACAUAUAUACACACUAAAAGCGUGUUUCAACUCUUGCGGGUCUAUUGCUCCAUUACUGUCUUCAUCUACAAACAACACAGAAAUCUUGUCAAGUUCUUAUCAGGUUAUUCAUUCCUUUUACGUUAGAGAAGAAGGGGAAUUGCAAAUAUAAAAAUGCUUUGUGAAAAAAUAGAAGUUCGGCCUAGAAUGUGCUUAUGCAGUAAACCGUAAACGUAACCAAAAUGAUACGUAAAAACAUCGGACAAAGGACGUGCUCAAAUUUCUUGUUCUUGCAGGAGAGGAUCUGACAUACUUAACCAUUUGCCUUACCCUUUUGAUAGAAGGACCAAUUUCUUUCAAACCAUCUUGCACAAUUAGAUUAAGUAUAUGAGUCAUACAUCUUACAUAGAGGUGUUUACCAUCCAUCACAUUGGUUCCCCACAUAUCUAACUUCUUAGACAAUGCAGAAACUGCAAUAUUGUUUGAAGAAGCAUUAUCAACAGUAACAGUGAACACAUACUCCAAUUUUCAAGCAAGCAAGCAAUUACUAAUACACUCCGCCAAAUGUUCACCUUUAUGACUAGUGAUAGGGCAAAAGUUCAAAAUUCUAUUAUGAAGCACUCAAUCUUUAUCAAUAAAGUGAGCAGUCAAACACAUAUAGCUAAUCCUUUGCAUCGAUGUCCAUGUGUCUGUUGUAAGACAGAUUUUUGGUUGCAUUUCUCUAAAAGACUUCUUCAAACUUAGUCUCAAUUCACCAUAAAUAUCUUAGCAAUCUCUUGUUAUUGUUCUACGAGAAGAAAUCCGAAACAAAGGUUGGGCUUUACUCAUAAAUUUCUUAAAGCCUUCAUUUUCUACGAAGCUAAAUGGUAGUUCAUCUACAAUUAUCAUCUCAACUAAAGUUCUCCUAACUACCUCUUGCUCAAAUUUCCAAUAUUCUCCCGAUGAAUCCUUUGUUUGAAAGUUUAACAAUGUUUGACCACUAGACGGGGUGGCGGGGCUUAUACAUUUUGCAUCUAACCAAAUGUUGUCUCAAUCCACUUAUUUCAUUUUUAGUUGUAUUAGCAGCACAAUUUUGAUGGCAAUGCAAACAUUUUGCUUUAGCUAGUUUAUUAUUUUCAAAUAUCUUUUCAAAAUGUUCCCAAACAGUAGAUCUACUUUCUAUUUCUUUCCUUUUCUUUGCAUCCGUAGUGUCAACUGAGUUGUCAUUACUAUUAUCAGGUACGCUAUCAGCUGAACCAGCCAUACUAACUCGACUUUCAUCAUCCAUCUAUGCAAAAUUUGAAAGAAAAAACAAGAUUAAAAGUGUUUAGACUAUUUAACAAUCGAACAUAUUUCACAAAAUCAGAAAAAUCAAUUUACAGAAUCAGGCAAUCAGAAAAAUCAACAAAAAAUCUCACACUCUUCACCAAAUCACUGAUUAAAAUCAAAAUAAAUUAAGAAGUAAAUUUUUCAAAUCACUGAAUUAGUCAAUAGAAAAAAAAAAAAAGAAGAAGAAGAAGAAAAACAAAAAAAUAGAAAAGAAAAUGAUACCUGAUUCGCCGCUGAGUCGCUGUCUCGCUGACUAUCCGCCGUUCGUCGCUCCAAUGGGUUCGCCGUUAGUCGCUACUCGCUAAUUGCUAAAGAAACUAAGUGAUAACUGUGUCUGCUAGUCUGCGCUAAGCCGCUAAUGCUAAUUGCUAAGUGAUGUUAUGUUAUGUCUUUGACCUAGAGUAUAGAGAGAGUAUUCAGUCAUUCAGAGUAGUGACCAAUUGUCCAAUUAGGCUGGUGUACUGUACAUUAUUAAAUUGGGGUGGCCA
rnacentral:lncRNA from 1 species